UUUCUCCUUAAGCUUCCCUUGGAAAAACAAUGUGCUUGUUUGCUAAAGCAGGGAUGGCAUUUCUGGGCAAAUUAAUUUUUGGAGCUGCAGAUGUAUGGAGCUGCUUCUGGACUAAGAGGGGUUCAGUGGAGCCUUCAGCUGCCCGGGUUUCACCUGCACUGGCAAGGUGUGACAGGAGUGACAAUCAAAGCCCAUCCUUUCUCUAUUUACAACUCGGCUUAAAUCCUGCAAGCUGGCUGGCUGUAUACCGCAUCUGUAGUUACAUGAGAGCGAGUGGCUGUGGUGGAUCUUCAUGAGACAGCCAGAUGCCAGAGUACAUACAGUACCUUCUUGUUUUACCCUCCCAGGCACUCAACUCUCGUGUCCCCUAUAGUUUUCACCUUUGCUGCUCCUGGCAGAGAUGAGCUGGUAGUAAGUUAUGAGACAGGUUUUUAGCAGCCUGGUUGUACGCAAGCUGAGACUAGGACUGCUCAUCUCGCUACCUGCCAGAGUGCCAUGUUUCAGCUGUCAGGGUAAGGCAUAAAGAAAAAUAAAUCACCUUUGGGACACAGAGAGCCGUAGGCUGUGUUCAGUCUGAAAUACUGACACGUCAUGGACAGGCGGGAGGGAGUUCUCCCAAAGCAAAAUGUACCUUUAUAUUGGGGAACGGGUCAAAAGCAGGGGUACACAGUAUGUCAAAGCACAUUGUCAGGUGGUUCGUGUAUGGUGAAAAUCAGAAUGUGUCUUCAACAAAUAAACCAAGCAGUUGUGCUGAGUGCUGUGGCAGAGUUGUUACCCACGGGCAGGAGGACAUUACCCUCACUUCGUCUGAGGUCAUCUGCUGCAGUACAGCUCGGCCUCCACCUUCGUCUGUCUUGGUUCACGAUAGUAUUAAGAAAUGGGUGGUUAAAAUACACUUCUCUGUGUCACGCCGGGAAGGUAAAGCAACAUUUCUGCAUAUAUUUAGGUCUCAGAAGCCAGUUGCCAAAGAUGACAACGUGAGUUUGGGGCUUCAGAACAUAAAUCAACCAUGAGCUGCUUUGCACCGAUGAAAUUCCCUAGUAAAAUUAAAACUUCGCUUAAACUAACUUAUGGAUGUAGCACACUCCUCUCAAACACCAGGCUGAAAUUUCUGGGGGGCUGGGGGGAUAGCUGUCUGCUUUGAUCGGUGCCACUGUAACUGCGUGUUGUUCUGCUCCAUGCUUCCUUCUCCAGACAAGAUGCCGUGUUCGCUCCCUUUGGAAGGUGCGGGAUGAGGGGCAUGUAAUGACUUAUUCCUCCUCAACAUAGCUCGAGUGGUGCACUGAGCAUUUCUGCUACUCCUCUUGUGAGAAACGAGCUAAGUCAACUGGGAGGGAAAGAACACAGGAUUUAUUUGAAUCCUGAUGUUAUUAGAGCUGAGAUGAAACCUCUUUUCUCUGCAGUCAACUUUCCUUGCUUUGCCAUAUUAAAAGAAAGUGCAUUCUUUUAAAUACUAAGUGGCAGAGGCCAUCCUGAACAAGAAAAAUAUGAUGGACAGUAAGACAUGUUUGUUUGUAUAGUACCUUAUACCAUGUUGUUUUUCUUUUCAGCAUUACGUUGAUUUUUCUCUUAUUUUCUUGGGGGCUACUGAGGCUAUCUAGAAGAUGACAAAAUAAAUACUGUGGUUGGUAGGUAGUAGAGCAGGAUGUGCCUCACAUCUUAGAGUAAAUCUGACUUCAUUACCAGCCAUGACACUUCUCUUAUUCAAGCUGCGUAAAUGGCUUUUAAAAGCUGCAGUCGUGACUGUGUUGAAAAUAGGGAUGCUUUUCUAAAGGAUACAAUUUAUGAAGACUUCUUCCACAGCAAUACAGCCUUUGUGCACCUGCCAGCAGUGCUCAACACUUGGGUGCAGCAGCUCCCACAGCACUGGGAAACAAGGUGAUUGGACCCGUGAGGAGACCGGCAGGAGAAUUAAUGCAAGGCUUUGGGAUGACAGAGCCAGGACUCUCAGACGGUCUUGGUUAUCCUUAUUUCGUUUUCUGAAUCUUUUUCAGUUACACUGUGUAUUUUUUGAGAUCAGUGGGUGGAAAUGCCCGUAUGCUUCAAAACGCACAUGUUCUGUGAAUACACAGACUGAUGUAAUGAUGUCUUUCCCCUCUUAUUUUAUCUUCUAACAGCUCUGAACAAUUUUUUGCUUAUUCCUUUCCAUCGUAUUUUAUAAAGCUUUGCCUUUUUGACUGUUGAUGAGCAUUGAGUUGAUGUUUUCAUCUCUGGUAACUCUGGGAUCCUUUCCCUGAGCAGCAGUAGCUGUUUCAGAGUUGUUCUUUCCUUUGGUCAUUAUAUUGCCUUUUAUCUUCACUGAGUCAUGUCUGCUGUUCUAGCACCCCAUCGCGUGGUAUCGUGAGGUCCUUUUGCAGUUCUUUGCAAUCAGGUUUAAUCUUUUGUUAUGCAGAAUAACUUCUUAGGCCUGCAAGCUGCGUCUCGCCACGGAUCACGUAGGUUGGGUGGUGUGGGUGGUAGCACGCUUCCUUGGACACCCCACCAAUACCCCCGGCCGUGGGGAAACCUAGCUGGUUCUACCUCCUGUUACAUUUCAUCAGUUAUCAAUCUGCAGGAUUUAAAGAUCUGCAAGACUUAGAGUCCUUUACUCUGUUCCUAAACCGGACGAGUUUAUUUCUAAAUCUUUAGUCGUAUUUGAUACAUGAUAACCACUUUCUCUGGGAAUCUGUCAUGAUUUAUUUAAAUGAUGUCUUUGCCACUGGCAUGUGUUUUACCCUUUUAGAUGUUCCUCUUAAUUUCUUUUUAACUCAUUGCUGUGUUUCAAUGUGGUUCUCCUUUUUAUGAAGUUGAGUCUUGCUGUGACACCGCAUAUGGCAUUUUUGAGAAAUUUCUUUGUAGAUAUAAAUGUUUUCUUUA